rnacentral:rRNA from 1 species
UACGUAGGGUGCAAGCGUUAAUCGGAAUUACUGGGCGUAAAGCGUGCGCAGGCGGUUUUUGUAAGUUUUGUCCGUGAAAUCCCCGGGCUCGAACCUGGGAAUGGCGAUGAAGACUGCAAGGCUAGAGUUUGGCAGAGGGGGGUAGAAUUCCACGUGUAGCAGUGGAAAUGCGUAGAUAUGUGGAGGGAACACCGAUGGCGAAGGCAGCCCCCCUGGGUCAAAACUGACGCUCAUGCACGAAAGCGUGGGGAGCAAACAGG